UAAUAUCUCAUUAUAGAUUUUUACACCUUUAUAAAAAAAUUGACCUGCAUGUCUAAGAAAAUCAGAAGUUCAUUGUCCACAAAGUCAAUGAUAAGUGUUCAUUGUGUAGUUAAAGGUGACCAUAUUCCAACCUUAGACAGCAGCAGACUUGACCAUCAGGUUAUCUUGAGACAGACAAAGGAGAAGUCCAGGAUGCUGAUAUUGGACACAAGUUAAGUUUCAGUGACAUGUGGCAGAUACAGUCAGAGGUAGCCAGGACCACAAGACAGACAGUAGGCCAACAUGAUGGGCAUGACUGGUGGGUACCCAGCGGGGAGCUGGAGGAAUAGGAGAGAUAGGUGCAUUCUAGAGACACAUUUCAUGGACUGCAUAGGAGAUUUCAUUUCCUAGCACCUCAUGUAAAUACUGUAUAACAAAUAGAAAGAGAGUGAGCCAGGGAGCUACUUAUGUAUGCCAAAACAUAGUAAGGAUCAUUAACUAUUGAAUUUGUAAUACUUUUCCAAAUUUGUUUUGGGAGAAGGAGUCAUGAACUUUGCCUGAGGCAUGGUGUAUGGAUACACAUGAUAUAUUCCUAUGUGGGCACUGAAAAGGACUGAAAAUUGAAGAAUGGAAAAACUGAGUAACUAUUAAAUUAUAGAAACGACUAACUAAGUUUUUUAACAGAAAAUGUGCUAAUUGACUAGGUUGAACUUUAGAACAAGCUCAAAAUGUUUGAUUACCUAGUGUCUUCUGAUGACCACAGGCAGCUGUAAACAUGUAAAAUUAAGGAGUCUUUAUGACAGCUAUUGAGCUUAAUGACUUAAGGACUGGGUGACUUUAACCCUGACAAAGCUAAACCACACUCUUAUGAAUAAUAUGUAGUUUACUCUUUAAUUGAGAAGACUAUAAAGCUGUGAACUUGAUUUUCUUAUACAAGUGAAGUAGCCAGCACACUCCCAAGUAAGUCUGUGUCCAGGGCUCAGUCUGAUGAGGAAUGCCUAUUUCUAUAAUUUUUGGACCAGGCGAGUCCAAAUACUAUACAGUAAUUUUUUGAAAAAGAUUUGUGUUUUGUAAUCCAAAAUUAUAGUCACCCCUCUCUUUCCAAUGUUAUUAAAGCUAAAAUUCAAAACAGGUGUUUGGUGCUAAAGCUGUAACCAAAAUAUCCUGAUAAGACUCCCUCGGAAAUAUAAUGGUUACAGAGCCCUGUAUAGCUUUAACAAACCCCUAUUUUCUUCCUUCUGUUCCAUACAAUGUGUUGUCUAUUUGCACCCAUUGAGGACUAAAUUACAGAUAAAGUUACAGCAAAUUUGUUUUCUCAAAAAAGCAGUCAGCCCUAAUAUCCCUUGAGUAAUGAAAGCCUUGUCUUUCAUUCAGAACCAGAACUGGCAUAAUUUUCUCCAAGAAACAAACUCUACUUCCUGUGACAAUGGACCUGUUCUUAAAAUUCUGAAUGGGACACAGCUCAAUUUGCAGGUGUUCAGGUCUAAAGGUAAAAGGGCGUUUGACCUCCUGGCUGGCGAUGGUUGCUGUGAUCUGAAAAUGUAUUUGCAGACAAGAGGCACCAGAAAUCACCCCAUACCUACUUUACCUCUUAGUUCAAGGCUGGACAUGUGUUUGGCCUGGAUACACGGACUGAUCCAUACUUAAGGAAGCUGUGUUCAAAACUGACUCAACAAGAAGGGAGGCACCAUUCUGUGGUAAUACCCAGAUCUCCAAUGGAGAACUUAAUGAAGAAUACAGAGGGUUCAGUCAGUAAAUUGUUGCACAAGCUAGAGGAGCUGAGUUCAUAUAGAGAUUUGGAUGCAGAGUUCUUCUACAACUUCAGUGCUAAAGUGGCUGGAGACAGGCAGUCCCCUGAGCUCUCUGACACAUCAAUCUAGACAAUAGGUGAGUUCCAGGCUCAAUGAGAGAUCUUGUUUCAAAAAUUAGGUGGAGAGCAACUAAGAAAGACCAUCAGUAUUGACCUAUGUUCCACACACAUGUGCAUGUACUUGCCCGCACAGUGCAAACACAUACAGUGAGAUAUAAAGAUUGGCUAUAACUAAUUAAUACAAUGCAAAGUAUGGAUAAAAUCCACUGCAUCCUCAUCAUGAGUGAGGUCGAGCUACUUAGUUCAGAAGAUGUUCACACACUUCUCCAUGUUGACAGAGCUCAGGAAAGCACAGUGGGAUUGGAUCCUGUGUGAGUUUGUAUAGGGGCAAGAACACAUUUUUCAAAACUGAACAAAUCUUUCUGUGAAAUGAACUCUAGAAUAGUCAAUAAUUUUGUAUGGAUGUCACAAAAGGCUUCUUCAGGCAGGUUUGCGUCAUAUUUAAACUAUAGACAUGCCAAGCUGGACUUUGUCACCAACCACAGCUGAAUGUAUGCUGAGCCCCACUUGGAGUGUUUUUAAGAGGACGGUGCCACCUGUGAGGGCACAAAUUUGUUCUUAGUGUGGGCCAGAAAACAAUCUUAAAUGUUUACAAUUAUUUCUGAAGGUCAGUACUCUUUGACAAUUGCUCUUCACAUUUAUUUUUCUCUUAUUAAAUACCUUUAAGAUAAUACGAACAAAAGUAAAACUCCUAAGACCAAAUAAAAGCCACAUGUGGCCAUUUUGCUUUUUUUUUUUCCUCCCUUAAAAUAAGGACUGACUUUCAUUUUCAUCUACAUACCUAUUUACAAUUUGAUAUGCUUCCUCUUCACUCUUCCCUGAUUUUUCUCUGCAUUUCUCUUAGAGAUGCUCACUGAUGACCGGUGUGAACACCUUUACUCUUUUACUGCUCUCUAAAUGUUACCACUUGCUGAGUGUCGGACCCCUGUCAUCACAACAAAAGCUGUUGGUGCCAUGCAGCCUUAGCUCAGAGCUCCCUCUGUGUCAAAGGCUUCCCAGUUCUUAUUAGUACAUUCAAAUGUGGUUAAAUGACGGAGAAAAGUAGUGACAACAAAAACAGGAACAAGUUCAUUAGCAGGAUCUCCCGAGUUCCCUUCUCACUUAGUAAGCCAGGUUCUCACACUUCUUGUGUGGAUCCUCACAGCUAGCCAGAGUGGAGAAGGUGGUUUGCCCAGUGUAAGGGUGACCUCACAGGGAGAGUUAGCUUACCUACUAAAGUGAAGUAAUGACUGCCUGUCUUAUAAUUUACCACCAUCUGGAAGAGUUUGUUUCAUCAACUGGAGUAAAUCAUAUAGUUAGUGCAUUCUUUUCAAUAUUUUUCUUUGGGAAAUACUUUGAAUAAUAGUGGGUUAUAGUAAAAAUGGGUCACUACUUUCAACAAGUAUGUCCCUAAAUUUAAAUUUGAAGGUAGGUAGACACUCAGAGGGAAAGAACAUUGAUUUAAGUAUCUAGAGACAGGUAUUUCUUAUUCAUUAUUUAAAAUAUUUUUGAUUGAUAGUUCAGUUGCAAACAGUGAUCUUGAGGGAUCUUACUAAUUAAUAAAAGGUGAAAAGGUACAACACUCAAACAGGAAAAAAAUAAGCAAACUGAAAGAGUGAGCUUUGGGGUAUGAACUCCACCACCCAACUCAAAAGCUCAUGAGAAGGUGGCCUCUUGGACUUAUGUUAGUUAAUGCUUCCAUACUUACAGAAUAGCAACAGACACCUUGGCAAAGGUGAAAUGGUUUUAUCAUUCCUCCCCACAAUAAAGCUUUCCUAGCUAAUAGCAUGGCACUGUUCACAUUAGAGGAAAAAGGAGGUAGAGCUGAAUUAUAGAAAGCCUGAGUGUGACCUUCCUUGAGGAUUCAAUUCUUGCUACUGUAAAUAUAAAACAAAAUGUAAGAGGAAUAUACUUUUCAAAGCAUUACAGAUCUGAGGCUUAUGUGAUCAAUUCCCUCAAAGACCAGAAAGUCCCUUUGUGGAUAUCUAUUAAAGUAAACAAAAAAGGGCACCAGGGGAAAGACAUGGAUCUGACGACAUGCUAGGUUACUAUAAAAUAUAUAACACUACAGAGCAGAGGGACAAUGACUGUGUGUAUGAACCACACACACAGACCUACAGCAUCUCCUCUAGACAGGAUCCUAGGACACUCUACAUCUUCUAAAUUAUAGCUUUUGCCAGGAUGUUCUUGCAAUUGUAAGAAUUUAUACUCAUUGUUUGUGAAAGAAAACACAACUGUAACUUUUUAUAUAAUCAAGGACAAUAUUUGAAGAUAAAUUUAGGGUGAUGGGGAUAUGUACUUGGAUUAUCAAUUUUCCAAGUGAAGUGUGCAUUUAGCGUACUUGUUAGAAAUUUCUUAAGGUCAACAUCUAUGACUAUGUAAAGGAAUUUUAAGCAACUUUAGAGGUAUAUGAUUUCCUAAAUCAAUGAAAUUCUAGGCAAGUGUUUUUCUUCCUUCAGUAGUGAAGGGAAGUCAAAUGUAAUGUAAAAUUUAUAUCAAUUGUAGGUAUUGUUUUCUAAAUUGUGUAAGUUUACUGAAGGGGAAAGCAUGUGUUAUGAAUGGUGGGUGAAAGGGCUUGGAAAUUUCGAUAUAUAAUUUAAGAAAAAUUCAUGAGCACACAGACUGUUAGUAGUACAUUAUGUUUCAUUGGUGCUUAUUUCUUUUGAUUUUCAGGUCUUAAAUUUUGUUUCUGUGAGAAAAAGCAAUAAAAUUUGUACCUGGAACAUUUCCAUUUUUUGCUAACUCUAAGAAAAUAAUUGUAGCAACCAAAAAGCUCCUAUAAAAAUAAUUUGAAAAUUGCCAUAAUAUCAUUGGUGUGGUAUUACUGGAGUCUAUUAAAUUCUCCAAAUGCUGUAAAUGUGAAGUGCUUUUCACUAUAUCCAGCAUAAUUAUCCUAUACCCUACAUCCACUAUGGAUGCUCAGACUUGGACCACAAGUGAUGCAGAGACACCUUUGUAUCCUCUAGCCACUAUGUAUGCUCAGACUCCAACCACAAGCGAUGCAGAGAUGCCUUCAUUUUCACAUUGGUUUUUCUCCUUGAGUAUCAUGGCUUUUUCAGUCCUUAUGAAAGCCGCUUACAAUGUUGUUAUUGCUUGUAAUACUUAUUAGAGAAAUCUUUAAGUUGUUUAACAGCAGCAGACUUUCUAUACAGGAAGCACACAGUAAAGCCUGCUGGCUGCCUCUGUCUUCAGGACACUGCCCUUUAUUCCCAUCGCCUCCCAAGGGCGGGUCCUCCUUUUUGCCUGUGGUUUCUUCAUUUUUUACUUUUAAUUUUGAACAUUUGCCUACACAUACCUCCCACAUGUCACUCUAUGCUUGUAUCAUCCCUGUUUGUUCUCUCUACCUCCACAAUGGUCCAGCUUUUCUGAAAAAAAAAAAAAAGAAAAAGCAAACAAACAAAAAAAAACCUGUGGCCCCAGUGUGAU